UCAUAUCCCUACGCGAGGUUUUUCCAUGAGGUGGAUGAGGAGUUGUUGAAGAACUUGAUCAAAGUAAACGUUGAAGGCACUACUAAAGUUACACAAGCUGUUUUACCUGGUAUGUUGAAGAGGAAGAAGGGUGCUAUAGUUAAUAUGGGUUCUGGCGCAGCAGUUGUCAUUCCUUCUGAUCCUCUCUAUGCGGUUUAUGCUGCCACCAAAGCGUAUAUAGAUCAGUUCUCCAGGUGCCUUUAUGUUGAAUACAAGAAAAG
rnacentral:misc_RNA from 1 species